rnacentral:rRNA from 1 species
GCAUAUCAAUAAGCGGAGGAAAAGAAACCAACAGGGAUUACCUCAGUAACGGCGAGUGAAGCGGUAACAGCUCAAAUUUGAAAGCUAGCUCUUUUAGGGUUCGCAUUGUAAUUUGUAGAAGAUGCUUCGGGUGUGGCCCCGGUCUAAGUUCCUUGGAACAGGACGUCAUAGAGGGUGAGAAUCCCGUAUGUGACUGGGUGCUUUCGCUCAUGUGAAGCUCUUUCGACGAGUCGAGUUGUUUGGGAAUGCAGCUCAAAAUGGGUGGUAAAUUUCAUCUAAAGCUAAAUAUUGGCCAGAGACCGAUAGCGCACAAGUAGAGUGAUCGAAAGAUGAAAAGCACUUUGGAAAGAGAGUUAAACAGUACGUGAAAUUGUUGAAAGGGAAGCGCUUGCAACCAGACUUGCGCGCUGAUGAUCAUCCGGGCUUCUGCCCGGUGCACUCGUCUGCGCUCAGGCCAGCAUCGGUUUUGGUGGUGGGAUAAAGGCCUUGGGAAUGUAGCUUCUUUCGGGGAGUGUUAUAGCCCUCGGUGCAAUGCCGCCUACCGGGACCGAGGACCGCGCUUCGGCUAGGAUGCUGGCGUAAUGGUUGUAAGCGACCCGUCUUGAAACACGGACCAAGGAGUCUAACAUCUAUGCGAGUGUUUGGGUGUCAAACCCAUACGCGUAAUGAAAGUGAACGGAGGUGAGAACCCUUAAGGGUGCAUCAUCGACCGAUCCUGAUGUCUUCGGAUGGAUUUGAGUAAGAGCAUAGCUGUUGGGACCCGAAAGAUGGUGAACUAUGCGUGAAUAGGGUGAAGCCAGAGGAAACUCUGGUGGAGGCUCGCAGCGGUUCUGACGUGCAAAUCGAUCGUCAAAUUUGCGUAUAGGGGCGAAAGACUAAUCGAACCAUCUAGUAGCUGGUUCCUGCCGAA